UUACCUGGUCUUGACAUCCACGGAAUCCCGAAGAGAUUUGGGAGUGCCGCAAGGAACCGUGAGACAGGUGCUGCAUGGCUGUCGUCAGCUCGUGUCGUGAGAUGUUGGGUUAAGUCCCGCAACGAGCGCAACCCUUGUCCUUAGUUGCCAUCAUUAAGUUGGGAACUCUAAGGAGACCGCCGGUGACAAACCGGAGGAAGGUGGGGAUGACGUCAAGUCAUCAUGGCCUUUAUGACCAGGGCUACACACGUGCUACAAUGGCAGGUACAGAGGGAAGCCAACCCGCGAGGGGGAGCUAAUCCCAGAAAACCUGUCUUAGCCCGGAUUGGAGUCUGCAACUCGACUCCAUGAAGUUGGAAUCGCUAGUAAUCGCAGAUCAGCAUUGCUGCGGUGAAUACGUUCCCGGGUCUUGUACACACCGCCCGUCACACCAUGGGAGUUGAUUGCACCAGAAGCAGGUAGCCUGACCGCAAGGAGGGCGCUUACCACGGUGUGGUUAAUGACUGGGGUGAAGUCGUAACAAGGUAGCC
rnacentral:rRNA from 1 species